AGAAGGCCAAUGAGGAAAGAAGAUACUUUAAAAUCUGGCGGGGGCAGGGAGGAGGUUUUGUUUGUGCUCUUUUUAUUGUUCCCUCUCCGGACAGAGAGACCAGGAAGGGACAACAUCUCCUGAAAAUAAAACCUGAAAUGAUUCAUCUAUGAUUACAAAAAUUGAAGUUUGAUGAGAUCCUGUGGGAGCUGAAAGGAAACUGUGUCCAGGAAAAAGGGGACAGAUAAAUUACACCAUGCCAGAGGCCUGAGAGUAUGUUCAGAAUCCACAUCCCCUUUUUGCACGGGUCCCUGCUUUGCUCCGCUUCACUGUGUCUGCCUGGCGCAGUAAUACGUGGCGGUGUCCGCAGCUCCCAGGGAGGCCAGCUGCAGGGAGAACCGGUUCUUGGAGGAGUCAGGGGAGAUGGUGAUUCGGCUCUGGAAAGAUGAGCUGUAGUUUGUGUACCAGGAGGAACUGCUGUAAAAUCUCCGUCCCAGCCACUCCAGCCCUUUCCCGGGAGGCUGCCGGACCCAGUGCCAGCCAUGACCACUAGUGAUGGACUGACCCGAGACUGCACAGGUCACGGUGAGGGUCUCUCCGGGCUUCACCGCUCCCGGGCUGGACUGGACCAGCUGGAUUUGGGCAAGAACACCUGAAAAAGGAGGAAAUUUGUUUCAGGAAUUCUAAUGCUGAUCAGAUACUCCCCGGGGACUCCCCCUGCUCUGCUGAAGUCAAAGGACAUUUCUCCCUCCAGUACAAGCGAAGCAGAACUUUCCCUACCCCCUCCCACAGACACUCACAGGAAUGGGUGGCUAAGAGGAAUAAGAGGGUGAAAAAUGAGUCCAUGAUGGUCUGAAUUAAUGAACUGACUCCCCAGCAGCAGGGACUGGGCAGUUCAGUGUCUGGGGAGAGACUGAGGCUUCUAGGACCAGGAGUUUGUAUUUAAACAGGAACCCCCCUGGGUAGGGA